rnacentral:rRNA from 1 species
UGCCAGCCGCCGCGGUAAUACGUAGGGAGCAAACGUUGUCCGGAUUUACUGGGUGUAAAGGGUGCGCAGGCGGAACUUUAAGUCAGUGGUGAAAUCUUGCCGCUUAACGGUAAAAUUGCCAUUGAUACUGAAGUUCUUGAAUAUGGUUGAGGUAGGCGGAAUGUGUUGUGUAGCGGUGAAAUGCAUAGAUAUGACACAGAACGCCAAUUGCGAAGGCAGCUUACUAAGCUACGAUUGACGCUGAGGCACGAAAGCGUGGGGAGCGAACAGGAUUAGAUA